ACACGACUACAUUAGAUACCCGUGUAGUCCCAGCCCUAAACGAUGCGCGUUAGGUGUAUCGGUGACCACGAGUCACCGAGGUGCCGAAGGGAAACCGUGAAACGUGCCGCCUGGGAAGUACGGUCGCAAGGCUGAAACUUAAAGGGAUUGCGGGGGAGCACCACAACGGGUGGAGCCUGCGGUUUAAUUGGACUCAACGCCGGGAAGCUCACCGGAUAAGACAGCGGAAUGAUUGCCGGGCUGAAGACCCUGCAUGACCAGCUG
rnacentral:rRNA from 1 species